rnacentral:lncRNA from 1 species
AUGGCCAAGUCCAAGAACCACACCACACACAACCAGUCCCAAAAAUGGCACAGAAAUGGUAUCAAGAAAGCCUGAUCACAAAGAUACGAAUCUCUUAAGGGGGUCGACCCCAAGUUCCUGAGGAACAUGUGCUUUGCCAAGAAGCACAACAAGAAGAGCCUAAAGAAGAUGCAGGCCAACAGUGCCGAGGCCAUGAGUGCACAUGCCGAGGCUAUCAGGGCCCUUGUGAAGCCCAAGGAGGCUAAGCCCAAGAUCCCAAAGGAUGUCAGCCACAAGCUCAAUCGACUUGCCUACAUUCCCCACCCCAAGCUUGGGAAGCGUGCUCGUGCCCGCGUUGCCAAGGGGCUCAGGCUGUGCCGGCCAAAGGCCAAGGCCAAGGACCAAACCAAGGUCCAGGCUGCAGCUCCAGCUUCAACUCCAGCUCAGGCUCCCAAAGGUGCUCAGGCCCCUACAAAGGCUUCAGAGUAG